GUGCUAUACAUGCAGUCGAACGCACAGCGAAAGGUGCUUGCACCUUUCAAGUGAGUGGCGAACGGGUGAGUAACACGUGGACAACCUGCCUCAAGGCUGGGGAUAACAUUUGGAAACAGAUGCUAAUACCGAAUAAAACUUAGUGUCGCAUGACACAAAGUUAAAAGGCGCUUCGGCGUCACCUAGAGAUGGAUCCGCGGUGCAUUAGUUAGUUGGUGGGGUAAAGGCCUACCAAGACAAUGAUGCAUAGCCGAGUUGAGAGACUGAUCGGCCACAUUGGGACUGAGACACGGCCCAAACUCCUACGGGAGGCUGCAGUAGGGAAUCUUCCACAAUGGGCGAAAGCCUGAUGGAGCAACGCCGCGUGUGUGAUGAAGGCUUUCGGGUCGUAAAGCACUGUUGUAUGGGAAGAACAGCUAGAAUAGGAAAUGAUUUUAGUUUGACGGUACCAUACCAGAAAGGGACGGCUAAAUACGUGCCAGCAGCCGCGGUAAUACGUAUGUCCCGAGCGUUAUCCGGAUUUAUUGGGCGUAAAGCGAGCGCAGACGGUUUAUUAAGUCUGAUGUGAAAGCCCGGAGCUCAACUCCGGAAUGGCAUUGGAAACUGGUUAACUUGAGUGCAGUAGAGGUAAGUGGAACUC
rnacentral:rRNA from 1 species